GAUGGGUCGCGGCGGCGGCGGCGGCGGCGGUGGCAGGAGGCAGAGGCGAGGGUUUGAGGGACGGAGAAAUAGAGUCAUUCUCCCUCUUGAGUGUCGCUGCAGGUGGCUGGUGGCCCAUCGUAUCAAAAUUACAGCCCAUGGUUACUAACCGUUACAAACUGCUGUGGGCCUGGAAACCAAACCAAACCAAUCCAUUUGCAGUGUCGGCUUAUUAGCAUCCAGCCCAAUUGAAACUAAAGCAAAAUCCAAACUGUUAUCAUUAUUCCAGCCCAAACUAUUUGCAGGGCGAGUUACAGGACAUAGAUGGGAGAGGGCUUAUGAAGGUAUGCAUACAUGUCUUUCUCACGCGCAGGACAUGAUGCAAGAGUAUAGAAUUGGUGCAAGAGUAUUGAAAUGAUGCAGGACAUGAUCUCUAAUCUUGUCGUUCUUUAUGCUUAAUGCUCACUUUUUUAACAGGACAUGAUGCAAGAGUAUAGAAAUAGAUCAUGGGAUGAAACCUGCAAAUUAACGGCAUAUAACACAUACUAUCUGACAUUGUUGACAUCUUAUCGUAUUCUAUGAUUUAUGAUUUCUAAAUCUUUUUUUUACUUUCAUUAUCAAUUUAUCAUGCUCCGUUGUUUAGGCCUUUUGAUUUUACGACUCAUAGCCUGGCGCCGUGCGUCCUCCUGGUCAACUUGUUCCAGCGCUGAUGGUGUCCAGCUCCUCCCUGAGCUUCCCCUCCUUCUGCAGCGUGGAGACCUUCAGCUGCAGCGUCAACACAUGAUCAAGAUGUCUUCUGUUUUUAUCCUGACGAGAGAAAUUGCAAUGGUUUCUCAGAAGCUCUGCGUUGAUAUAGGGAAAUUGUACCACAUUUGCGCUUAGCUGGAUAUGGAAAAGAGCUAUCUGAUGUGCUGCCGAUUUGAAAGAAGCCUAAGGUUGAGGGUACACAUUUGAGUUGAUCAGGUUUUGGAGAAGAAAAAGCUUCAGGUAAAGUUUUUUUGUGGUUUCUGCUUGAUCGAGAUAGAAGAUGGUAGCAGUAAGCAGUAUGCUACUGGAUAAGAACAGAGCCAAGCAAAGAGCCAGGUUGCUUCUUGCUGUGUGCGUUGCUUGAGAGAGUUCCUAGGUUGCCAGCAAUGCCCAUGUGUUGCCCCGACACUGAAUUUUGGCUAAUUUAUGCAUGUGGUUGUGUAAUCAACAUAAUAACUGUCCUUUGUGUGAAACAAAUAUUUCUCAGUUUAGACUA